rnacentral:rRNA from 1 species
CCUACGGGUGGCAGCAGUCGAGAAUCAUUCACAAUGGGGGAAACCCUGAUGCUGCGACGCCGCGUGGGGGAAUGAAGGUCUUCGGAUUGUAAACCCCUGUCAUGUGGGAGCAAAGUAAAAAGAUAGUACCACAAGAGGAAUAGACGACUAACUCUGUGCCAGCAGCCGCGGUAAUACAGAGGUCUCAAUCGUUGGUCGGAAUUACUGGGCGGAAAGCGUGCGUAGGCUGUUUCGUAAGUCGUGUGUGAAAGGCGCGGGCUCAACCCGCGGACGGCACAUGAUACUGGGAGACUAGAGUAAGGGAGGGGGAAGCGGAAUGCGCGGUGUAGCAGUGAAAUGCGUAGAUAUCGAGAAGAACACUCGUGGCGAAGGCGGGUUCCUGGACAUUAACUGACGCUGAGGCACGAAGGCCAGGGGAGCGAAAGGGAUUAGAUACCCUUGUAGUC